rnacentral:rRNA from 1 species
GACGAACGCUGGCGGCGUGCUUAACACAUGCAAGUCGAACGGAAAGGCCCUGCUUUUGUGGGGUGCUCGAGUGGCGAACGGGUGAGUAACACGUGAGUAACCUGCCCUUGACUUUGGGAUAACUUCAGGAAACUGGGGCUAAUACCGGAUAGGAGCUCCUGCUGCAUGGUGGGGGUUGGAAAGUUUCGGCGGUUGGGGAUGGACUCGCGGCUUAUCAGCUUGUUGGUGGGGUAGUGGCUUACCAAGGCUUUGACGGGUAGCCGGCCUGAGAGGGUGACCGGCCACAUUGGGACUGAGAUACGGCCCAGACUCCUACGGGAGGCAGCAGUGGGGAAUAGUGCACAAUGGGCGGAAGCCUGAUGCAGCAACGCCGCGUGCGGGAUGACGGCCUUCGGGUUGUAAACCGCUUUCGCCUGUGACGAAGCGUGAGUGACAGUAAUGGGUAAAGAAGCACCGGCUAACUACGUG